UUUACGACUCUCGGCAACGGAUAUCUUGGCUCUCGCAUCGAUGAAGAACGUAGCGAAAUGCGAUACUUGGUGUGAAUUGCAGAAUCCCGUGAACCAUCGAGUUUUUGAACGCAAGUUGCGCCCGAGGCUAUCCGGCCGAGGGCACCCUG
rnacentral:rRNA from 1 species